GACGAACGCUGGCGGCGUGCUUAACACAUGCCAGUCGAACGGAAAGGCCCUGCUUUUGUGGGGUGCUCGAGUGGCGAACGGGUGAGUAACACGUGAGUAACCUGCCCUUGACUUUGGGAUAACUUCAGGAAACUGGGGCUAAUACCGGAUAGGAGCUCCUGCUGCAUGGUGGGGGUUGGAAAGUUUCGGCGGUUGGGGAUGGACUCGCGGCUUAUCAGCUUGUUGGUGGGGUAGUGGCUUACCAAGGCUUUGACGGGUAGCCGGCCUGUGAGGGUGACCGGCCUAAUGGGGACUGAGAUACGGCCCAGACUACUACGGGAGGCAGCAGUGGGAAGUAUUGCACAGUAGGCGGAAGCCUGAUGCAGCAACGCCGCGUGCGGGAUGACGGCCUUCGGGUUGUAAACCGCUUUCGCCUGUGACGAAGCGUGAGUGACGGUAAUGGGUAAAGAAGCACCGGCUAACUACGUG
rnacentral:rRNA from 1 species